GAGGAGGGUUACGGUGGUUGCUUGCUUUCCAGGAUUUUAGCCAUUCCUACAGGAAGGAAGAAGGGGCUGAGUCACGACGGAAGGGAUCCUACCUGGCUUGGUAUACUGGAGCCACUACUUGUUGGUAUUUUUUAAGGAAAAAUGAUAGAUACAACCGCUUGGUGCAACCGGCGUGUCCACGUCACCCAUUUUAUAUUUUCUCCUCCCUCCCUCUCCAUUUCGUUCCCCCUCUCUCCCGCUCAAAAUUUCAUUUCUCCCUCCCUCCAUCCCCAUCUCAGUUGAACCACUCCCCCUCCCUUGAAGAUGCCUAGUGCCCCAUGCACGUCCGUCUCCUUCAGAAAACCAAACAGGUAUGGCCCAUGGCCCCCCUUUCUGAGCAAAGAAACCAACACUGCCGCAAACCUUUGGGCUUCAGUGAAGCAUUCCACCUCGUAGCUGCCGUCACCACACGUGAAUCCCUUCAAGCAAGGCGACUCCAACCAUCUCGCAAGGCACUGCUUCACGUUGGAGACUCCAUGAAAACAGCCCAGCAAACCUCCCCGUUGCCAUUACUCCUCUGUUUUAAAGCGCCAAAACAGAGCAAUUUUGUGCUUUCAGCCCAGAUCCCUCUCACGCACGACCACCCACUUAAAACCGAUGCCAACUACACCCAAGCCACCGAAAGCCUCUGUUUCCCGCACCAAAACACAGAGCACCCACUCUCUACCGUGAGCCACUGCAAACCCACCGUCACCAAGACAUAGAACAAGAUCAUGGGACACUCCAACGUGUGGAAUUCUCACCCUAAGAACUACGGCCCUGGCUCCCGCGCCUGGUACGGAAUAUCUCUUCUUCUCUUCCAACCUGUUUGGUCCCCGAGAAAUUAUCAUUGAUCGAAAGAAAUCUAACUUGUUCCCAUCCUUGACAGGCUUCUGAUUUAUUUACAGAAGUACGGCCUCAUGUGUUGUAGGCAAUGGUUCCGCAGCAACGCCAAGGAAAUUGGCUUCAUUAAGGUAUUAUUCUUCUAAUGAGUUUAUUGUCCUACUCUGAACGUUGGUUUUGAUUGUUUGAUUUAUCGUCUAUUAGAUUUUUCUCAUGAGUAUUCAGUGGCUUGGUCUGUUGAGAAGCUGACCCACGAGGUGGUCGGAAGUUUCUGUGCGAGGUGAAGAUAGGCUGAGGGCCAAGAGAAUUUGCUCUGUUUUUUCCUUCCCAAAACAGAGAACACGGUGGAACAUGUCUUACGGCAUUAUGGUUGCUGCGGUUUGCCGUCGGUUGAUCAUCUAUGGAGGAGAGGCUCACAGUGUGGAGGGUGUUGCUCGGUUUUGGUUUCUCACGUUGUGUUUCUUUCAUUUUGAAGCAUGGGAUUGUAUUUGGCAGAAUAGUUGAAAGAAAUGGCAGUAGGAAUAGAAAAUAGUGGCCAAAGGUUCUUGUGGGUGGUAAAAAAUCCUCCACUAGAGGAGUAUGAGCUUGCCAAGCUCUACUGCAGUCAGGUGGCUUUUGCCUGCACAGGGGUAUAGAACUAUGGCAUCGUCCAUGUUGAAACAAAGCAGCAGCGUGAAGAGAGAAUGGAGGGAAGAGAGGGAUUUGAAGUGAAGAAGUUAAAGAGAGAGAUGUCUGUUACUUUUUGUUUUUCGGCUUUUUUUUAUCUUUUAUAAUUCCGCGUAAGUUUCACGUACGGCCGGUUAUCUCAGUUCCUCACGUCGGUUGUCCC